rnacentral:lncRNA from 1 species
GUGACCUAAAAUCAAACAGAUUAUGGCUGGAGAGAUCAGUUGUGUUCCAAAUAUGUUAAACACGGAAAUUCAGCUAGUAUGUUGAGUUUCCUUGUUAUACACCAAGAAAGCAGAGUGUCAAUAACAGUAGAGAAGUAAAUGCAUUAUUUUAUAUUGGUCUGGGAAACCCUGCAGGGCAUUAUGUUUUCUGCCUGGUCACACCCAUUAUUUAGUAGAGAUAAUUUCUUGUUAACCAUCCAAAAAAAGAAUUC